rnacentral:misc_RNA from 1 species
GAUAAGUUAAAGCACCAGCAAUCUAAUCUAACUAAACAUGCAUUCCCCUUAUUAUCCCAACAGUAUGUAAUGAGUAAUGACAAAUACAGACAAGAGUUCGAUGUUAUCCUGAUAAAAUAAAAACUUCUUCCGCAAAGCAAAAUAGUCAACAAAACCUUAAAUGAUAAAACAAGAACAAAUAUUAUUUCCCUUAAAGAAAAUCUUAUAUGCCUUUACCCAUCAAAUUACAGUUGAUAGAUCAAACAAAAUCCUGAACAUGAUAAAUUAAUUUUCUGCUUCUUUCUUUAGGAAGUAAACUUACCCUUUCGAGUAGGCAU